rnacentral:lncRNA from 1 species
CUGGGCAAAUCGCUUCUCUGUGAGUCAGUCCUCUAUGCCUCUGCGAGUGAUUUGGCCAGUGAUCCUCGAUUGUCUUGGUCAAAUCGCCUGCCCAUGUCACUGCUGUCUGUUGCCUCUGGGUAUCUGUUUUAGCUUGAUCUGGGCAGUGAUUGGAGCAGAUUUUUGGGCAAAUCACUGGGCAAAUAAUCCUUUUGCAAAUUUUCUGCACUUUUUCUCCCAUUUUCCAGAUUCUUCCUUUUCUGUAAAAACAAUAUAAAAACUAUAAAUUAAGCUAGAAAAUGUGUAAAUAAGCAAUAAAAGAGAUAAUAAAAAUGUGGCUAAAUUGUGCUUGAUCAUU